rnacentral:siRNA from 1 species
UACCAGAUUUUGUUCUUGAUGCUC